UACGUAGGGGCAAGCGUUGUCCGGAAUCAUUGGGCGUAAAGCGCGUGUAGGCGGUUCAGUAAGUCUGCUGUGAAAGUCCAGGGCUCAACCCUGGGAUGCCGGUGGAUACUGUCGAGCUAGAGUACGGAAGAGGCGAGUGGAAUUCCCGGUGUAGCGGUGAAAUGCGCAGAUAUCGGGAGGAACACCAAUUGCGAAGGCAGCUCGCUGGGACGUCACUGACGCUGAGACGCGAAAGCGUGGGGAGCAAACAGG
rnacentral:rRNA from 1 species